UACGUAGGGUGCAAGCGUUGUCCGGAAUUAUUGGGCGUAAAGAGCUCGUAGGCGGUUUGUCGCGUCGGCCGUGAAAUCUCCACGCUUAACGUGGAGCGUGCGGUCGAUACGGGCAGACUUGAGUUCGGUAGGGGAGACUGGAAUUCCUGGUGUAGCGGUGAAAUGCGCAGAUAUCAGGAGGAACACCGGUGGCGAAGGCGGGGUCUCUGGGCCGAUACUGACGCUGAGGAGCGAAAGCGUGGGGAGCGAACAGG
rnacentral:rRNA from 1 species